rnacentral:rRNA from 1 species
GACGAACGCUGGCGGCGUGCCUAACACAUGCAAGUCGAGCGAGUGGAUCUCCUUUGGGAGAGAAGCUAGCGGCGGACGGGUGAGUAACACGUGGGCAACCUGCCUCAUAGAGGGGAAUAGCCUCCCGAAAGGGAGAUUAAUACCGCAUAAGAUUGUAACUUCGCAUGAAGUAGCAAUUAAAGGAGCAAUCCGCUAUGAGAUGGGCCCGCGGCGCAUUAGCUAGUUGGUGAGGUAACGGCUCACCAAGGCGACGAUGCGUAGCCGACCUGAGAGGGUGAUCGGCCACAUUGGGACUGAGACACGGCCCAGACUCCUACGGGAGGCAGCAGUGGGGAAUAUUGCACAAUGGGGGAAACCCUGAUGCAGCAACGCCGCGUGAGUGAUGACGGCCUUCGGGUUGUAAAGCUCUGUCUUCAGGGACGAUAAUGACGGUACCUGAGGAGGAAGCCACGGCUAACUACGUGCCAGCCGCCGCGGUAA